AGCAUGAACUUAGCUUGCUAAGUUUGAUGGCGACCGGCGCACGGGUGAGUAACACGUAUCCAACCUGCCCUUUACUCGGGGAUAGCCUUUCGAAAGAAAGAUUAAUACCUGAUAGUAUGGUGAGAUUGCAUGAUAACACCAUUAAAGAUUUAUCGGUGAUGGAUGGGGAUGCGUCUGAUUAGCUUGUUGGCGGGGUAACGGCCCACCAAGGCAACGAUCGGUAGGGGUUCUGAGAGGAAGGCCCCCACAAUGGGACUGAGACACGGCCCAUACUCC
rnacentral:rRNA from 1 species